CAAAUUAGAGCUUGUGAAAGUUUUUCAUUUACAUUGAAAGGAAAUUAUAAAAAUAAUUAAUUUGA
rnacentral:tRNA from 1 species